rnacentral:misc_RNA from 1 species
UGAAGGAGCUCUGACUAGAGUUGUGACUACAAGGGCAGAGUUUAACUUGAAGAUAAUAAAAGAUGAGUCCCAGCAAAGAAACAGUGUUCCAUUGGACCGUGCCAUUGUCAAGGACAUCCAUGGGGAUUGUGAAAAGAUGUUCCAGGCACUUAUCGGAUAUAAGGAGGAUUGAGCUGUUAACCUGUUUCAAAAGGCAAUGUAUCCAUGAUGAUCUUGAUGUUAGCGGUUUCACCUUGCUGGAUGUGG